GCGGAAGUUAAAUAUGUCCAGAUUCCGCUCACUACUGCAAGCAUCGUUGAAUGCUACAAGAAGAGCACUCGCGUGGAACAUUGAAGACCUAGUUCCACCCAGUGAAAGAUACAUUUUCAACUUCAGUUCAAAGGAUGAGCUCAAGAAUUGGCAUUUAUACUCAGAUUCAGAAUAUGGAGGUCUGUCCUCAGCAGCUUUGGAGAUUAAGGACACUGGAAAUGGGUCAACUAGUGUUGGUCUUUUCUCUGGAAACCUCUCUUUGGAUGUUAUGGAAGGAUCAAAGUGGAAUAUGACUCGAAGUGGCUUUUGUGGAAUGCGGUCUAAAAAGUUUGAUGGCUUCAUUGAUUUGGAUGGAUAUGACACAAUAGCUCUUAAACUUAAAGGGGAUGGAAGAUGCUAUAUUUCUACAAUAUACACAGAGAAUUGGGUCAAUAGUCCAGGACAAGAUGAAGAUAAUUCAUGGCAAGCAUUCGUUUUUGUUCCAAAAGACAACUGGUAUAUUGCAAAGA
rnacentral:misc_RNA from 1 species